rnacentral:rRNA from 1 species
CAAGACCUUGCGCUUUUUGAGCGGCCGAUGCCUGAUUAGCUAGUUGGUAAGGUAAUGGCUUACCAAGGCAACGAUCAGUAGCUGGUCUGAGAGGACGACCAGCCACACUGAGACUGAGACACGGCCCAGACUCCUACGGGAGGCAGCAGUGGGGAAUUUUGGACAAUGGGCGAAAGCCUGAUCCAGCCAUGCCGCGUGAGUGAAGAAGGCCUUCGGGUUGUAAAGCUCUUUCGGUCGGGAAGAAAUAGUUGUGGCUAAUAUCCACAAUGAAUGACGGUACCGACAUAAGAAGCACCGGCUAACUACGUGCCAGCAGCCGCGGUAAUACGUAGGGUGCAAGCGUUAAUCGGAAUUAUUGGGCGUAAAGGGUGCGCAGGCGGUUGUAUAAGUCAGAUGUGAAAUCCCUGGGCUUAACCUAGGAAUU